GCCAGGGUCGCUUCGUACAGAUCCACACUUGCCAGCACGAAGAGGAUGAGCUGAAGGCUGAAGCCCAUCCCUGGCUGGAUGUGAGAUGGGGCGACCCCCUCCAAGGCUCCAACGAUCAUGUAAGGUACCCUGAUACUGUUGCGUGCGUGUUGCAUAUGUCUUCAGUCUGUAGUCCUAAAAUCUUGUUAUGUAGAUGUAGUGUGCAUCUGAUCCUUGAUGCGGUGGCAACAAGGAUUAUACAUGUUUGUGUAGAUUUUCUUUGGAGAACAUGCCUGUGUGUAUUCCCCCCUUUUUUAGCUACCGUGUGUGUCAAACAAAAGAAUUCAUAUCUUGGAUGCUCCAUGGCCAAGCAGGAGGAUAAAUAGAUCAACCAGUCUCAUGCUUAUUCACAAAGAAACAAUAUCAUGAAGGCCUCGGCAAUGUGUUUAUAUUUUUGGAGGAACACAUGGAUGCUUAAUGUACUUGCAGAAGAUGUUGGUUCUUGACUUCUGCUUAUUUCUUGUGAUGUCUUUGUUCAAACUCACAAGUGUAUCUCGCAAAGUCAUUCAUAUGGUGAUCGUAGCAGUUAUUUGGAUCUGAAGGUGGAAUAGAGCGUAAUAACUGUUUGGGAUAGCAGUUUUUUUCUUGAAAGGAUCGAUCAAUGUGUUGUAUAUACAAAUGAUGACAGUCAUAUGCCAUG